GAUUAACGCUGGCGGCGUGCAUAACACAUUCAAGUCGAACGGAACAGAGGGCUUCGGUCAUCUGUUUAGUGGCGGACGGGUGAGUAACGCGUGAGCAAUCUACCUCUUGGUACGGAAUAACAACCGGAAACAGUUGCUAAUACCGUAUGAAAUAGCAGCUUCGCAUGAAGCAACUAUCAAAGAUUUAUUUGCCAAGAGAUGAGCUUGCGUCCGAUUAGAUAGUUGGUGGGGUAACGGCCCACCAAGUCGACGAUCGGUAGCCGGACUGAGAGGUUGAACGGCCACAUUGGAACUGAGAUACGGUCCAGACGCCUACGGGAGGCAGCAGUGGGGAAUAUUGGGCAAUGGGCGAAAGCCUGACCCAGCGACGCCGCGUGAGGGAAGAAGAUCUUCGGAUUGUAAACCUUAGUCAACAGGGAAGAAGAAAGUGACGAUACCUGUGGAGGAAGCCACGGCUAACUACGUGCCAGCCGCCGCCGUAAAAC
rnacentral:rRNA from 1 species